rnacentral:rRNA from 1 species
UACGAAGGGGGCUAGCGUUACUCGGAUUGACUGGGCGUAAAGGGCGCGUAGGCGGAUGGUACAGUCAGACGUGAAAUUCCUGGGCUCAACCUGGGGGCUGCGUUUGAUACGUGCUGUCUGGAGUUCGGAAGAGGGUCGUGGAAUUCCCAGUGUAGAGGUGAAAUUCGUAGAUAUUGGGAAGAACACCGGUGGCGAAGGCGGCUCACUGGCCCGGUACUGACGCUGAGGUGCGAAAGCGUGGGGAGCAAACAGG